rnacentral:rRNA from 1 species
UACGUAGGGUGCAAGCGUUAAUCGGAAUUACUGGGCGUAAAGCGUGCGCAGGCGGUUUGUUAAGACAGAUGUGAAAUCCCCGGGCUCAACCUGGGAACUGCAUUUGUGACUGGCAAGCUAGAGUCUGGCAGAGGGGGGUGGAAUUCCGCGUGUAGCAGUGAAAUGCGUAGAUAUGCGGAGGAACACCGAUGGCGAAGGCAGCCCCCUGGGCCAACACUGACGCUCAUGCACGAAAGCGUGGGGAGCAAACAGG